rnacentral:rRNA from 1 species
GCUUAUUGGGAUUCGACUAAGCCAUGCGANUCGUGAGGGUUCGGCCCUCGGCGAACGGCUCAGUAACACGUAGAUAAUUUGCCCUUAGGUGGAGGAUACCCUCGGGAAACUGAGAAUAAUACUCCAUAGAUUUAGAAUGCUGGAAUGCUUUUAAAUUGAAAGAUUUAUCGCCUAAGGAUAAGUCUGCGGACUAUCAGGUCGUAGUUAGGGUAAAUACCCGACUAGCCUACGACGGAUACGGGUUGUGAGAGCACUAGCCCGGAGAUGGUAUCUGAGACACGAUAUCAGGCCCUACGGGGCGCAGCAGGCGCGAAAACUUCGCACUGUGCGAAAGCGCGACGAGGGAAUCCCAAGUGCUGGCUCGUAAGAGUCAGCUGUUUCUUUGUCUCCCCCCCGGAGAGAGUAAGAGCUGGGUAAGACGGGUGCCAGCCGCCGCGGUAAUACCUGCAGCUCAAGUGGUGGCCGUUAUUAUUGGGCCUAAAACGUCCGUAGCCGGUUCUAUAAAUGCCUGGGUAAAUCGUACGGCUUAACCGUACGAAUUCCGGGUAGACUGUUCAACUUGGGACCGGGAGAGGCUAGAGGUACUCCUGGGGUGGAGGUGAAAUUCUGUAAUCCUAGGGGGACCACCAGUGGCGAAGGCGUCUAGCUAGAACGGGUCUGACGGUGAGGGACGAAGCCCUGGGGAGCAACCGGGAUUAAAU